GGCGUGCCUAACACAUGCAAGUCGAACGAGAACGGGUUAAAGUUUACUUUAACUGUCAGCUAAGUGGCGCACGGGUGAGUAAUAUAUAGUUAAUCUGCCCCAAAGAAGAGAAUAAUUGUUGGAAACGACUUGUAACUCUCUAUAUGCCUUUAUUACAUAAGUAAGCAAGGGAAACAUUUAUGGCUUUGGGAUGAGACUGUACGGUAUCAGUUUGUUGGUAAGGUAAUGGCUUACCAAGACUAUGACGCCUAACUGGUUUGAGAGGAUGAUCAGUCACACUGGAACUGAGACACGGUCCAGACUCCUACGGGAGGCAGCAGUGGGGAAUAUUGCACAAUGGAGGAAACUCUGAUGCAGCAACGCCGCGUGGAGGAUGACACAUUUCGGUGCGUAAACUCCUUUUAUAUGAGAAGAUAAUGACGGUAUCAUAUGAAUAAGCACCGGCUAACUCCGUGCCAGCAGCCGCGGUAAUACGGGGGGUGCAAGCGUUACUCGGAAUCACUGGGCGUAAAGAGCAUGUAGGCGGAUAGAUAAGUUGGAAGUGAAAUCCUAUGGCUUAACCAUAGAACUGCUUCCAAAACUGUCUAUCUAGAAUAUGGGAGAGGUAGAUGGAAUUUCUGGUGUAGGGGUAAAAUCCGUAGAGAUCAGAAGGAAUACCGAUUGCGAAGGCGAUCUACUGGAACAUUAUUGACGCUCAGAUGCGAAAGCGUGGGGAGCAAACAGGAUUAGAUACCCUGGUAGUCCACGCCCUAAACGAUGCACACUAGUUGUUGCCUUGCUAGACAAGGCAGUAAUGCAGUUAACACAGUAAGUGUGCCGCCUGGGGAG
rnacentral:rRNA from 1 species